CCGCAUCCUUUCCUUCUCGACAGAAUCCUCCGUCAGGGCACCCGGAGCCCCCGGCAGCGGCGGCGGCGAGAGCGGAGGCGGAAUUGGGGGAGGUGCGGCGGAAGCCGAAUCGGCGGAGGCGGGCAGUCUCCGCAAGUUACAGGCGAUAGAUGCCGGAGAGAGGGAGCGCGGGGCAGCGACCGGCGGUGGAUGACGAUCUUGACGCCGUCGAACACGACCGACUCCUUGGAACUCGCCAUACCGCUUCGGGGCAGGUGCCAGCCGUACUGCCUCCUAGCCGUGGCGUCCUCGAAGAACACGGCGAGGAUGGCGUCGAACGUCGAGCGCCGCAUCGGCUUGUCCCCUGAAUGGGCAGAAGCAGCCAAAUCUAACGUGUGUUAUGAAAAAUCCACACGAACAAGAUGUGAUGUGCAGGGACAUGUGACGGUGUCCUCGAAAAACACUGGGACAUGCCGCCGGAGUAGUCCACGAAGACGCAUGCAUCGAUGCGGUUGGCGGCUUGGCGCACUCGGAGAGGAGGAAGAAGGGAGGGCCACCCACCUCGGCGGGUGCCGGGGAGAAGGACAGGCGCGGCGAAUGCGACCGGCGGCCAGCGGGGGAGGAACGCGGGGGUGGCACAGUCGCCGGAGCCGUGCCUCCGCCGCUGCGCGCCCCUCCGUCCUCUCCCGCUGGCCGCCGCGGCGCCGCUGACUCUCCGUCC
rnacentral:lncRNA from 1 species